AUAUGAUAAAGGCAAAACUACAGAAAUGUAGUGACGCAAAGCUAUAGGGACUUAUCCAUUAAGGAAUGUCAGCCAGUUACCAAA
rfam:Bacillus azotoformans LMG 9581 contig45, whole genome shotgun sequence.